ensembl:snoRNA SNORA73 Small nucleolar RNA SNORA73 family
CCAAUGUGGAUACCCCAGGUGGUCACUCUCCCCGGGCUCUGUCCAGGUGGCAUAGGGCUCUGCCCCGUAAUGUACAGUCCCUUUCCACAACGGUGGAGAAGAAGCUGGGCCUUGUGUCUGGGCCUGCAUAUUCCUACAACUUCUCAGAGUCCUUUGGGCAGUGACUGAGGAGAUAAACCAUGCAGGAAACAAUG